CCGCGACCUCCCGCGACCUCCUGGUCCCGACCCCGAGCCGCUGGUAGCCGCCGCUGCCGCCCCUGGGGCUGUCUCCGGGGGCGCUGACGGGGGAGGUUAUGCCUAGAAGAAGGUUUCUGCAGUGUGCUUCUAUGGUAUCCAAGCUCACGUACUGACGCUUCCUUUGUAACUUUAUGGUAAAACAGAGUAUCGGUUUGGUUACCACAUCAUCUGCAUCCAGACGUCACUUUUAAGAAAAUGUGGACUGCUAAAAAUCUUUAUAGUGCUCAAAUACUGUUGCUCCGGUUGAAAGAAGGCAGACUGCAUAGUUGCACCUUUCCCAAAACUCAUCACUUCUGGAUUGGGAUUCCAAACUGUUGCACUGUAAGACCAUCACAUAACAGAGUUAAAUUACAGGUUUCCAAGGUGAAUGAUAAACAAUCAGUAGUUGAUAGAAGAAUGGCUACUAGUGCAGAGGGAACUAAAAUACCUGUUGGAAAAAGUUCAAGUGGAGCACGU